rnacentral:rRNA from 1 species
UGCAGUCGAGCGGAAGGCCCUUCGGGGUACUCGAGCGGCGAACGGGUGAGUAACACGUGAGCAACCUGCCCUAGGCUUUGGGAUAACCCCGGGAAACCGGGGCUAAUACCGAAUAGGACCUGACAUCGCAUGGUGUUGGGUGGAAAGUUUUUCGGCCUGGGAUGGGCUCGCGGCCUAUCAGCUUGUUGGUGGGGUGAUGGCCUACCAAGGCGACGACGGGUAGCCGGCCUGAGAGGGCGACCGGCCACACUGGGACUGAGACACGGCCCAGACUCCUACGGGAGGCAGCAGUGGGGAAUAUUGCACAAUGGGCGGAAGCCUGAUGCAGCGACGCCGCGUGAGGGAUGACGGCCUUCGGGUUGUAAACCUCUUUCAGCAGGGACGAAGCGUAAGUGACGGUACCUGCAGAAGAAGCGCCGGCCAACUACGUGCCAGCAGCCGCGGUAAGACGUAGGGCGCGAGCGUUGUCCGGAUUUAUUGGGCGUAAAGAGCUCGUAGGCGGCUUGUCGCGUCGACUGUGAAAACCCGCAGCUCAACUGCGGGCCUGCAGUCGAUACGGGCAGGCUAGAGUUCGGUAGGGGAGACUGGAAUUCCUGGUGUAGCGGUGAAAUGCGCAGAUAUCAGGAGGAACACCGGUGGCGAAGGCGGGUCUCUGGGCCGAUACUGACGCUGAGGAGCGAAAGCGUGGGGAGCGAACAGGAU